rnacentral:rRNA from 1 species
UGGGGAAUUUUGGACAAUGGGCGAAAGCCUGAUCCAGCAAUGCCGCGUGUGUGAAGAAGGCCUUCGGGUUGUAAAGCACUUUUGUCCGGAAAGAAAUCCUUGGCUCUAAUACAGUCGGGGGAUGACGGUACCGGAAGAAUAAGCACCGGCUAACUACGUGCCAGCAGCCGCGGUAAUACGUAGGGUGCAAGCGUUAAUCGGAAUUACUGGGCGUAAAGCGUGCGCAGGCGGUUUGCUAAGACCGAUGUGAAAUCCCCGGGCUCAACCUGGGAACUGCAUUGGUGACUGGCAGGCUAGAGUAUGGCAGAGGGGGGUUAGAAUUCCACGUGUAGCAGUGAAAUGCGUAGAGAUGUGGAGGAAUACCGAUGGCGAAGGCAGCCCCCUGGGCCAAUACUGACGCUCAUGCACGAAAGCGUGGGGGAGCAAACAGGAUUAGAUACCCCUGGUAGUCCACGCCCUAAACGAUGUCAACUAGUUGUUGGGGAUUCAUUUCCUUAGUAACGUAGCUAACGCGUGAAGUUGACCGCCUGGGGGAGUACGGUCGCAAGAUUAAAACUUAAAUGAAUUGACGGGGUCAUAGCUG